rnacentral:rRNA from 1 species
UACGGGGGAGCAAGCGUUGUUCGGAUUUACUGGGCGUAAAGGGCGCGUAGGCGGCCACGACAAGUCACUUGUGAAAUCUCCGGGCUUAACUCGGAACGGUCAAGUGAUACUGUCGGGCUAGAGUGCAGAAGGGGCAACUGGAAUUCUCGGUGUAGCGGUGAAAUGCGUAGAUAUCGAGAGGAACACCUGCGGCGAAGGCGGGUUGCUGGGCUGACACUGACGCUGAGGCGCGAAAGCUAGGGGAGCGAACGGG